AAUAGCCUAACGGCUGAACCAGCAACUUGGAGGAAUGUAUAGCUACGGCUAAUUGUGUAUAAUUACAUGAUAUCGACUCUGUCGAAUAAAAUUCUGGGUAUAUUAUGAUAAUGACAUUUUUUACCCAUGUGUCUUGACCAAAUUAUGUGCCAGCAGUCGCGGUAAUACAUAGAAGACUAGUGUUAUUCAUCUUUAAUAGGUUUAUAGGGUACCUAGACGGUAGAUCAAGCCCUAGACGGUACUAAUCUGCUAGAGUUACUUAUGAGGGGGCUUUAAAGUACUAAUGGUGUAGAGAUAAAAUUUUGUAAUACCACUUUUCGUAAAGAAAAAUUAUGGCACUGGUAAAGGUGAAAGCAUCCCCCUAUGUGAUAA
rnacentral:rRNA from 1 species